GCAUAUCAAUAAGCGGAGGAAAAGAAACCAACAGGGAUUGCCCUAGUUAACGGCGAAGUGAAGCGGCAACAGCUUCAAAUUUGAAAUCUGGCGUCUUUGGCGUCCGAGUUGUAAUUUGCAGAGGGCGCUUUGGCAUUGGCAGCGGUCCAAGUUCCUUGGAACAGGACGUCACAGAGGGUGAGAAUCCCGUACGUGGUCGCUAGCCUCUACCGUGUAAAGCCCCUUCGACGAGUCGAGUUGUUUGGGAAUGCAGCUCUAAAUGGGAGGUAAAUUUCUUCUAAAGCUAAAUACUGGCCAGAGACCGAUAGCGCACAAGUAGAGUGAUCGAAAGAUGAAAAGCACUUUGGAAAGAGAGUUAAAAAGCACGUGAAAUUGUUGAAAGGGAAGCGCUUGCAGCCAGACUUGCCUGUAGUUGCUCAUCCGGGUUUCUACCCGGUGCACUCUUCUAUAGGCAGGCCAGCAUCAGUUUGGGCGGUUGGAUAAAGGUCUCUGUCACGUACCUCCUCUCGGGGAGGCCUUAUAGGGGAGACGACAUGCAACCAGCCUGGACUGAGGUCCGCGCAUCUGCUAGGAUGCUGGCGUAAUGGCUGUAAGCGGCCCGUCUUGAAACACGGACCAAGGAGUCUAACAUCUAUGCGAGUGUUUGGGUGUCAAGCCCGAACGCGUAAUGAAAGUGAACGGAGGUGGGAACCUUUCGGGGUGCACCAUCGACCGAUCCUGAUGUCUUCGGAUGGAUUUGAGUAAGAGCAUAGCUGUUGGGACCCGAAAGAUGGUGAACUAUGCUUGAAUAGGGUGAAGCCAGAGGAAACUCUGGUGGAGGCUCGCAGCGGUUUCUGACGUGCAAAUCGAUCGUCAAAUUUGGGCAUAGGGGCGAAAGACUAAUCGAACUAUCUAGUAGCUGGUUCCUGCCGAA
rnacentral:rRNA from 1 species